rnacentral:lncRNA from 1 species
UUGUCUAUUGCCUCACUUCCCUCUUGUCUCUCCAAGUCUUCCAUGAAUAUCAAACCCUGGGGUCUGGAUGAUUUGGGCACUGUGCUACACUGCGGGAACAUAGCAGUGAAUAAGACAGAGGUGGCUCCAACCUCUCAGAACUUAGUGAAGAAAAGCCGGAAAUCCAGACAUUGAUCUCCACUGUGUACCGGGGCUCUGUCCACAGCGGACAGCUGACCACAGCAUUGCUGUUUCAGGUAGGAUUAGAAGUCUGAUCCAACCCACCUUCUAUUAUUUGGUUGGUGGCUGGCUGGUGGAUAUGACCAGGAACAGCCACUUGUCCAAAAGCAGAGAUUUUAGUCUGGAAAAUAAUAAACAUCCUAAGGGAACACUGAAAUAAAAACCGUAAGUGGAAUUCAGCAUUCAGCUCCAGACUAAUGAAGCCAGCAGUGUGGCAAGAAUACAACACAGAAAUCUUCUUGAAGGUUGAGAGAGGUGCACUACAGCACUUGAUGGUUUUACCAGCAAUACAAAUAGCAGGCAGGAACGAGUAGAGCUUUUGAAAAAAUGCCCAAACCAGGCAGCACAACAGAGAUAAAUAAAAUACACAGUAAAGAGACAAAAUAAUAAAAUACUGUAAUUUGGUCUCCCAGCAUGAAGGAGGGAAGCUAAGACGCAAAGAAUGGAUUAGAAUUCAUGAGUCAUUUGUUCAGCUUGGAACUGAUGGAGUCCUAGCUGGUUGGAGAGGCUAGAGCCAGCUGGUUGUUCUUCCUUCC